UGUGGGAGCGGGCUUGCCCGCGAUAGCGGUGGGUCAGCCAGCGCAUCGUUGACUGAUAGAUUGCUAUCGCGGGCAAGCCCGCUCCCACA
rnacentral:antisense_RNA from 1 species